UACAGAGGUCUCAAGCGUUGUUCGGAUUCAUUGGGCGUAAAGGGUGCGUAGGCGGCGCGGUAAGUCGGGUGUGAAAUCUCGGAGCUUAACUCCGAAACUGCAUUCGAUACUGCCCGUGCUUGAGGACUGGAGAGGAGACUGGAAUUUACGGUGUAGCGGUGAAAUGCGUAGAUAUCGUAAGGAAGACCAGUGGCGAAGGCGGGUCUCUGGACAGUUCCUGACGCUGAGGCACGAAGGUCAGGGGAGCAAACGGGG
rnacentral:rRNA from 1 species